UACGUAGGCAGCAAGCGUUGUUCGGAGUUACUGGGCGUAAAGGGUGUGUAGGCGGUUGUUUAAGUUUGGUGUGAAAUCUCCCGGCUCAACUGGGAGGGUGCGCCGAAUACUGAAUGACUAGAGUGUGGGAGAGGUGAGUGGAAUUCCUGGUGUAGCGGUGAAAUGCGUAGAUAUCAGGAGGAACACCGGUGGUGUAGACGGCUCACUGGACCAUAACUGACGCUGAGGUGCGAAAGCGUGGGGAGCAAACAGG
rnacentral:rRNA from 1 species